ACACACACACACACACACACACACACACACACACACACACACUUGACCUCAGUAAACAACCCAAUAAAGUAUUGUGUGAGCUGUUGGCUGUUGGCUAGACAGUUGGACUGGGGGUGUGAGAGAACCAGACAGUUGGACUGGGGGUGUGAGAGAACCAGACAGUUGGACUGGGCGUGUGAGAGAACCAGACAGUUGGACUGGGGAGUGAGAGAACCAGACAGUUGGACUGGGGGAGUGAGAGAACCAGACAGUUGGACUGGGGAGUGAGAGAACCAGACAGUUGGACUGGGGUGUGAGAGAACCAGACAGUUGGACUGGGGAGUGAGAGAACCAGACAGUUGGACUGGGGGUGUGAGAGAACCAGACAGUUGGACUGGGGGAGUGAGAGAACCAGACAGUUGGACUGGUGGAGUGAGAGAACCAGACAGUUGGACUGGUGGAGUGAGAGAACCAGACAGUUGGACUGGUGGAGUGAGAGAACCAGACAGUUGGACUGGUGGAGUGAGAGAACCAGACAGUUGGACUGGUGGAGUGAGAGAACCAGACAGUUGGACUGGGGGUGUGAGAGAACCAGACAGUUGGACUGGGGAGUGAGAGAACCAGACAGUUGGACUGGGGAGUGAGGGAACCAGACAGUUGGACUGGUGGAGGGAGAGAACCAGACAGUUGGACUGGGGUGUGAGAGAACCAGACAGUUGGACUGGGGAGUGAGAGAACCAAACAGUUGGACUGGGGGUGUGAGAGAACCAGACAGUUGGACUGGGGGAGUGAGAGAACCAGACAGUUGGACUGGGGAGUGAGAGAACCAGACAGUUGGACUGGGGUGUGAGAGAACCAGACAGUUGGACUGGUGGAGUGAGAGAACCAGACAGUUGGACUGGUGGAGGGAGAGAACCAGACAGUUGGACUGGGGGAGUGAGAGAACCAGACAGUUGGACUGGGGAGUGAGAGAACCAGACAGUUGGACUGGUGGAGUGAGAGAACCAGACAGUUGGACUGGGGGUGUGAGAGAACCAGACAGUUGGACUGGGGAGUGAGAGAACCAGACAGUUGGACUGGGGGAGUGAGAGAACCAGACAGUUGGACUGGGUGAGUGAGAGAGCCAGACAGUUGGACUGGGGGAGUGAGAGAACCAGACACUUGGACUGGGGGUGUGAGAGAACCAGACAGUUGGACUGGGGUGUGAGAGAACCAGACAGUUGGACUGGGGGAGUGAUAGAACCAGACAGUUGGACUGGGGGAGUGAGAGAACCUGACAGUUGGACUGGGGGAGUGAGAGAACCAAACAGUUGGACUGGGAGUGUGAGAGAACCAAACAGUUGGACUGGGGGUGUGAGAGAACCAGACAGUUGGACUGGGGGUGUGAGAGAACCAGACAGUUGGACUGGGGGAGUGAGAGAACCAGACAGUUGGACUGGGAGUGUGAGAGAACCAAACAGUUGGACUGGGGGUGUGAGAGAACCAGACAGUUGGACUGGGAGUGUGAGAGAACCAGACAGUUGGACUGGGAGUGUGAGAGAACCAGACAGUUGGACUGGGGGAGUGAGAGAACCAGACAGUUGGACUGGGGAGUGAGAGAACCAGACAGUUGGACUGGGGGUGUGAGAGAACCAGACAGUUGGACUGGUGGAGGGAGAGAACCAGACAGUUGGACUGGGGGAGUGAGAGAACCAGACAGUUGGACUGGGGGUGUGAGAGAACCAGACAGUUGGACUGGGGUGUGAGAGAACCAGACAGUUGGACUGGGGAGUGAGAGAACCAGACAGUUGGACUGGUGGAGUGAGAGAACCAGACAGUUGGACUGGGGGUGUGAGGGAACCAGACAGUUGGACUGGGAGUGUGAGAGAACCAGACAGUUGGACUGGGGGUGUGAGAGAACCAGACAGUUGGACUGGGGAGUGAGAGAACCAGACAGUUGGACUGGGGGAGUGAGAGAACCAGACAGUUGGACUGGGUGAGUGAGAGAGCCAGACAGUUGGACUGGGGGAGUGAGAGAACCAGACAGUUGGACUGGGGGUGUGAGAGAACCAGACAGUUGGACUGGGGUGUGAGAGAACCAGACAGUUGGACUGGGGGAGUGAUAGAACCAGACAGUUGGACUGGGGGAGUGAGAGAACCUGACAGUUGGACUGGGGGAGUGAGAGAACCAAACAGUUGGACUGGGAGUGUGAGAGAACCAAACAGUUGGACUGGGGGUGUGAGAGAACCAGACAGUUGGACUGGGGGUGUGAGAGAACCAGACAGUUGGACUGGGGGAGUGAGAGAACAAGACAGUUGGACUGGGGGUGUGAGAGAACCAAACAGUUGGACUGGGGGUGUGAGAGAACCAGACAGUUGGACUGGGAGUGUGAGAGAACCAGACAGUUGGACUGGGGAGUGAGAGAACCAGACAGUUGGACUGGGGGUGUGAGAGAACCAGACAGUUGGACUGGGGGUGUGAGAGAACCAGACAGUUGGACUGGGGGAGUGAGAGAACCAGACAGUUGGACUGGGAGUGUGAGAGAACCAAACAGUUGGACUGGGGGUGUGAGAGAACCAGACAGUUGGACUGGGAGUGUGAGAGAACCAGACAGUUGGACUGGGGAGUGAGAGAACCAGACAGUUGGACUGGGGGUGUGAGAGAACCAGACAGUUGGACUGGGGGAGUGAGAGAACCAGACAGUUGGACUGGGGAGUGAGAGAACCAGACAGUUGGACUGGGGGUGUGAGAGAACCAGACAGUUGGACUGGGGGAGUGAGAGAACCAGACAGUUGGACUGGUGGUGUGAGAGAACCAGACAGUUGGACUGGGGUCUGAGAGAACCAGAGGAAUCUGAGGUGGAGCCAUAGGAGUGGCUGUCAUUGUACUGCAGUAACACAAAAAUAAAAGGUAUGUGUGAGGGUGUGUGCAUGUGUGUGUGUGUGCGUGUGUGUGUGUGUGUGUGAGUGAGAGAGAGGAUGUGUGUGAGCUUGUGUGUGUGUGUGUGAGAGGGUCUGUCUGUGACCGCAUUCCUCAGAGGGAGGGGUCACACACACAAAUGUGAAUACACCAUGCUUUCUGAGCGAUCCCUAAUCUUCCUGUCUAGGCAGGUAGCAUUAAGCCUUAUUUUAGUGUGGCCAUUGUUCAUGUUUGUCUCUGGUGGUUCAGGGGUAGAUAUGCGAGCAGCACUAAAGUAAUUAGGUUAGUGUGCUGUUACAAUUGAAGACGUGUCACACACACACACACACACACACACACACACACACACACACACACACACACACACACACACACACACACACACACACACACACACACACACACACACACACACACACCUUUCUGAACAGCUGGUAACUGGGGGAGGGCAAGGCGACCACAGAAGGUGACUCUAAACACAGGCGACCGCAGAAGGUGACUCUAAACACAGGCGACCGCAGAAGGUGACUCUAAACACAGGCGACUGAAGCCUACUGUCCAUUCAGAAAACCUGCUCUUCUUUCAAGCAAUAAGAUUGUCCGCUCAGACUGCCCAUUCAUAAAGAAACACGCACUGAGUUACAGUAUAUACAUUCACUUCCCCUUCUACAACCCGACCCCUCCCUCCCAUCUCCUCGUGCUCGGAGUUCAUUCAUGCUUUCUGCCACUGGGCAAAAGGAUUGGACUGUACCAUUUACCCCAAUUUAUAGGGGAGACAACAUGACAGAGGAAGGGGGGGGUCGAUAGACAGGAAACUAUACAACAUUCUUAUUCUCUACUACAUACAGUAUCAACCCAACAGAACAAGUCAAUGACUGCAUAGAACCAAUAAAACAGACGUUAGCAACACAAUGACUGAUAUCCUAAUGAAUUUCUUUGUAUUACUUGUGCCCUAUACUGUGCCCUUCACAGCUUAUUUAAAUAACUCACAUUUGGAGACAGCAUAAGAACUCUGUCAUACUUCUGUAUCCAUGUAAUUCUAUCAAUGUACAAGCUAUACACGCUAUUACACUCUAUGACUAUGUAACAGCUAUGUAACAGUUAUAUAACAGCUAUGUGACAGUGAAUCAGCUAUGUAACAGUUAUAUAACAGCUAUGUAACAGUGAAUCAGCUAUGUAACAGUUAUAUAACAGCUAUGUAACAGUGAAUCAGCUAUGUAACAGUUAUAUAACAGCUAUGUAACAGUGAAUCAGCUAUGUAACAGCUAAAUAACAGUUAUGCAAUAGCUAUGUAACAGUGAAUCAGCUAUGUAACAGCUAAAUAACAGUUAUGCAAUAGCUAUGUAACAGUGAAUCAGCUAUGUAACAGCUAAAUAACAGUUAUGCAAUAGCUAUGUAACAGUGAAUCAGCUAUGUAACAGCUAAAUAACAGUUAUGCAAUAGCUAUGUAACAGUGAAUCAGCUAUGUAACAGCUUUGUAACAGCUAAAUAACAGUUAUGUAACAGCUAUGUAACAGUGAAUCAGCUGUGUUUUAAUCUGAGUAAUCUAAUAACACUCUGAGGUAACAUUCACACGAGUAGUCUCUAUUCAAUCCAGCACAGCUCCAAUACAUUACAGUAAAUCACUACUAUAUCUCACUGAGCUUUCAGCUAGAGUACCUCACACAAAUAUAAACACAUCAUCCUAUUAUUACAGGGCUGACAGAGAAAGGAUUUCUGUCACAAAGAUGCCAUUCUUUUCUAAAUGCAGUGUCUAUUUCUAUUCAAUAAGAAAUGUGUAAUUGUGAGUUUUCCUCUAGUCUGGUCUGACUAUAGAGGAUCAGUGAGCGUUUUCUCAGCCUUAACGUGGACCAUAUGAUAUCCAUCAGAAGCAGCAGUGCUAACUGGGACUUUUUUCCCCCACUUACCUACUCAGAGCAUUUC
rnacentral:lncRNA from 1 species